GUUGGAUCUGGAGUUAUCCUUUAUUGGAACCAGACGAUCCUUUGUUGGAUCUGGAAUGAUCCUUUGUUGGAUCUGGAAUGAUCCUUUGUUGGAUCUGGAGUAUUAAUCUGCCCAGAAACAUCAGCUAGUGAAAGACAAAGGUCCUAAUGUCAGCUUUUUUCUUGUGCUGGCACUGGUCUACAGUAACGCUGAUGGUUGGACACAAUCCAAUUUUUUGUGCCAGUUUUUAUCUUCAUCAUAAAUGAAGGGGUGGAGCGGCACAAAAUGAGGGCGUUUCGAAUGAUAAUCAUUCCAAACUCUUUCUAAUAGUUGUUAAUUUCUCACAGCUGUUAGACAUGAGUAAUAUGCCAAGUUUGACUCUUUUGUUUAGCACGACUUUCCUGAGUAGAUUAGUUUCUAUAUGCAAGCUCUUCACCUGCAGCGAUCUCUGGCAG
ensembl:lncRNA